rnacentral:rRNA from 1 species
CGCUAGGAACCCUACACUCGGUAAUGAUCUUCCGUAGGGUGAACCUGCGGAAGGAUCAUUACCGAGUGUAGGGUUCCUAGCGAGCCCAACCUCCCACCCGUGUUUACUGUACCUUAGUUGCUUCGGCGGGCCCGCCAUUCAUGGCCGCCGGGGGCUCUCAGCCCCGGGCCCGCGCCCGCCGGAGACACCACGAACUCUGUCUGAUCUAGUGAAGUCUGAGUUGAUUGUAUCGCAAUCAGUUAAAACUUUCAACAAUGGAUCUCUUGGUUCCGGCAUCGAUGAAGAACGCAGCGAAAUGCGAUAACUAGUGUGAAUUGCAGAAUUCCGUGAAUCAUCGAGUCUUUGAACGCACAUUGCGCCCCCUGGUAUUCCGGGGGGCAUGCCUGUCCGAGCGUCAUUGCUGCCCAUCAAGCACGGCUUGUGUGUUGGGUCGUCGUCCCCUCUCCGGGGGGGACGGGCCCCAAAGGCAGCGGCGGCACCGCGUCCGAUCCUCGAGCGUAUGGGGCUUUGUCACCCGCUCUGUAGGCCCGGCCGGCGCUUGCCGAACGCAAAUCAAUCUUUUUCCAGGUUGACCUCGGAUCAGGUAGGGAUACCCGCUGAACUUAAGCAUAUCAAUAAGCGGAGGAAGAU